rnacentral:rRNA from 1 species
ACGUAGGGUGCGAGCGUUAAUCGGAAUUACUGGGCGUAAAGCGUGCGCAGGCGGUUUUGUAAGCCAGAUGUGAAAGCCCCGGGCUCAACCUGGGAAUGGCAUUUGGGACUGCAAGGCUGGAGUAUGGCAGAGGAGACUAGAAUUCCUGGUGUAGCAGUGAAAUGCGUAGAUAUCAGGAGGAAUACCGAUGGCGAAGGCAGGUCUCUGGGCCAAUACUGACGCUCAUGCACGAAAGCGUGGGGAGCAAACAGGA